rnacentral:rRNA from 1 species
GGGUGACUGGGCGAGCCUGAUCAGCCAUGCCGCGUGUGUGAAGAAGGUCUUCGGAUUGUAAAGCACUUUAAGUUGGGAGGAAGGGUUGUAGAUUAAUACUCUGCAAUUUUGACGUUACCGACAGAAUAAGCACCGGCUAACUCUGUGCCAGCAGCCGCGGUAAUACAGAGGGUGCAAGCGUUAAUCGGAAUUACUGGGCGUAAAGCGCGCGUAGGUGGUUUGUUAAGUUGGAUGUGAAAUCCCCGGGCUCAACCUGGGAACUGCAUCCAAAACUGGCAAGCUAGAGUAUGGUAGAGGGUGGUGGAAUUUCCUGUGUAGCGGUGAAAUGCGUAGAUAUAGGAAGGAACACCAGUGGCGAAGGCGACCACCUGGACUGAUACUGACACUGAGGUGCGAAAGCGUGGGGAGCAAACAGGAUUAGAUACC